CGGACUGUAGCGCAGCCUGGUAGCGCACUUGCAUGGGGUGCAAGGGGUCGAAGGUUCAAAUCCUUUCAGUCCGACCA
rnacentral:tRNA from 3 species